CAUUUAUAGUUCUGUAUAGUUAUAUCACAUCACCUCUUGAUCAUCUAAUUUUUAAUGUGGAGAUAAAGGUUUAUCUGUGAGUUUUUACAUGAUAAAUCUUUUAAAUUAUAAACACGAAUUGCUCUAUGUUGGAGUUGUUCAAUCAUAAUAACAUGUUUCCGCAAUGUAAACUCCUUAAUGGUGAUCAAUAUUCAAGAGUUUGUUGUGAUGAUUAAUGUGCCACCACAUAAAUGUAGCAAAUAUUAAUGAAGCUAUGGCAAUAAACGUAAUGUUGACACAAAAAUGCCAAAUCUCAAGUUAAAUGGCUCAUCUAAGUCUGUUAAAAUGGAUGCAAGUACUAAAGAAGACAAUAACGUUACAAAUUGAAGCAGAACUUUAUAACAAAUCAUGUUGACGAUUAGAUAUGAAUCGCAGAAAAACACCAUUGUCGAAUUUUUAUCAAUCAAAUCUUUGUAUUAUAAUUGCGUAAAUAUAUUUUAAAAUUU